rnacentral:lncRNA from 1 species
UUGGAAGAUCACAUUGCCGUGUUCAAGGGAAUAGUUGCAGAUCUGGAGACGUUGGAAGUUAAGUACGAUGAAGAGGAUCUUGCCUUGAUCCUGUUGUGUUCGCUGCAUGAGUCUUAUACGUCGUUUCGGGAUACUAUCUUGUAAAGUCAAGAUACUUUGACUAUAGAAGAUGUCUAUGAUGCUUUGCACUCAAAGGAGAAAAUGAAGCAUUUAGUUGGAGCUACAUCAAGGGAUAAGGAAGCUCUUAUAUCUCACGAUGGUCGACGAAGAGGCAGAUCGAGAGUUAGAUUUAGCAACGUGACCUGUUACUACUGCAAAAUAAAGGGACAUAUUCGGAAGGAUUGUGAUAUAUUGCAGGCUAAAGGUGAUUUAGCUGCAAAUCGUGGAGUAUAACCUUUGAAUUCAGAGGAAACCAAUGUAGUUGAGAAUUGUUCAGAUAGCGAAAAGGUGAUGUUGAUCGUGGAAUCUGAUGUGGAGUCUAGACCUAACGAGGAGUGGAUUCUUGAUUCAACAUGUUCACACCAUAUGUGUUCUGAUAGGAAUUUAUUUCAGACAUAUAAGGUUGUUCAGCAAGGUGGAGUUGUAUGGGAAACAACCAAUCUUACCGUAUUGUUAGGAUUGGUCAAGUCAGUUUGAGGCUGCGAGAUGGAACAUUUAGAACAAUUGAUCAAGUUUGACGUGUUCCUGACCUAAAAAGAAAUCCCAUUUCGCUAAGUACCUUAUAUGCAAAAGGGUAUAAAUUCUCUGGAGGAGAUGGAGUCUUGAAGGUCCAAAAGGGAGUCCGAGUUGUACUAGAGAGGCGGAAAAGAUCCCAAUUGUACAUUUGUAGGGAAGUGCAAAACCAAUUAAAAGGAGACAUUUGGACAAGUUUAGUACCGUGGUGGAAGUUCAGUUUGGUAUAGUGUCUCUUGUGUUGGGCACUGAGUAGAUUCAAAACGCUGCUAGGGAGAGCGCUGGUGAUUUCGCUUUGCUACCAAUUUCAGCGAGUACGCUGUGUCAGUUGCUGAGGUAGGACUUAUCGAGUGUAAGUACCAUGGUGUUAGCAAUGUUCGGAAUGCUUUUAGGGACGUUGAAGGCGACAGUUCCAGCAAGGGGCCUUCUGAUCAAGCAUCUAGUUUGGUUCUUGCUAUAGGGUGUGCUUCGACCCUGUGUGAUCAACAUUAAUUCCUUGGUGGAAUUGGGAACCUUGGGGAUUGGAUUCGGGUGUCGGUUGUGGACGCUGAGCAGAGGACAAGUGUUUGAUUUAUAUGGAGUGUUUACUGUGUUGAGGAGAUUCGACCAGUUAAUUUUGAUACAGAUGAAUUUGAAAUCUAGGAGUUUCGUUCGUAACACCAAAAUUUGAGUCCAGAUGGAGAUUGUUAGGAGUAUGACUCAAAUAAAAGUAUUUUGAAGAGGCGUAUUCGACUUGAACUAUGAGAAUAUUAACCUAGGGUUUAAGGAAACUAAGUUGAAUAAGGAAACAAGAUCAUGUUGAAAUUGGGUCUCCUAAUUGUAAUAUAUUUUCUUGCCUUUUAGGAUUCUUCUAGGGUUGGCCUAUAAAUACGAGGCUCUUCUGGUCAGUUUGUAGAGAGUAACAUAGAAGCAGUAUUGCUAGUGUGUCUUGUAUUUUCCCCACUGUUGAAUUAAUAAAUAUCGUUCCUUUGCGUUUACCCUUUGUGUUCUUUCUUUACAAAUUCAAUCUUGUAUUUUCGUGGUGUGGCCUAGUAUAUUUCAAAAUUGUCAUUAAAUCUCUUUCUUUAUAAUCCGGUUUGAAAUCAACGUGUAUUAUUGGAGCUUUUGCGCCCAACAAGAUGUUCUUCUUAAUUUUCUAAUCUUAUUUGUUUCUAUUGUUCAAUUGGCAACUGCCGAUGUGAUGUUUUGCCUUGAUUCUUAGUUUUCUGCUCAGAAUUUUGAUUGUUAUGUCAAACUUUUAUGGGUACCUUGCAAAUUAACUUAGUACAAGAAUUGCUUGAAGGUUUAUUCAACGGGUACUAUUUUGAUUAUGUUCUUGCAAGUUCAGUAAGUAUGGAUUUUCUUUAGAAGGUCUAUAAUUGAAGUCCAGGUUUAGUUUUUGAAUGUUACCAUUUUACUUUCUUAGUUCUAUAACUUCUAUCUUUGAGAUGCAAAUGAUUGACUUAUACAUGAUUGAAAACACUAAAAAAUAUGAUAAAAAUGAAACAAAAUGAAUGUUUCAAAGGUCUUGAAAUAAAGACCUGUCAUUAAUUUUUUACAUGAGAUAUUUUUAUCAUACAUUGAUAUGGUUGGGACUGCAUAUUUUUUUUUUUGAUGUAUGUGAACAGGUGAAGGAGAUGGGUGGAAGUAGUAAACCUUCAGAUCUAAUAAAGGGAUACAAGCAAUUAGUAGAGAGGAAGAAAGGGUUUGUUGAUUGGGCAAACUUGAUAAACAAUCAUGCAGUAACUCAAGAAAAAAACGAGGGGAAGUUUACUCAGGAAGAAGUAAAAUAAAAAAAACAAAAAAAAAAACACCUGCAUGUAUAGACUUCAAGAUUUAUGUUCGUCACUUGGUCUUUCGAGGAUAAAUGCAAGUUUAGUGUUUUUGAGGGAAGGUUGUGAUAGUAUGUGGCAUGGCUCUCAAAUUUUUUUAUCAUAUUUUUUAUUUGCUUGUUUAAUCAUGUGGCUUUAACAAAUACUAGUAAAGAGUUGCCUAUACAGUAAUACUUAUUUAUUAAAUUGGUUACCAAACAAGUAAUCCGAAAAAUGUACAGCAAUUAAGACCUUCCAAUAACGAAAUUAAGUUUGCACAU